CGUUUUUCCUCCAAGCUACACAUGUUAAGUUCCUUUAACCUUUCCUUGUACGUUUUAUCCUGCAUAUAAGUAUAAAUAUCCUUCUGAAGAUAUGGUCUCCAGUACUGCGUACAAUACUCCAAGUGAGGUCUCACCAGUGUUCUGUACAAUGGCAUGAUUACUUCCCUCUUUCUACUGCUAAUACCUCUCCUUAUACAAUGAACAUGCAUAUGGAUUAUGGGGGCUCAUAAGCUCCCAGUGUCAUCGCUCUUAUGGCUGAAUUUAUUGCUGAAUGCAUGUGGUCACCUUUCAAUGUGAUACAACACGUAAACCUGUGAAAAAAGAUCAGGAAUACUUAGGAUGGGGCAGGUCAGAACAAUUUCUACUAACCUAAAAAUUAUGGGCAUGAAUUAAACAAAUCUUUUCAUUCAAGAACAAGACAUAGGGAAAAGCAAUCUUGGUUGUCCCCUUAAUAUGGCCUGGAAGCACAUAAACUCUGUGCACAAAUGUGAGAGUAAAUUCGAAGUGAUUUAAGGCCAAGGCAGUCAAACUGGAAACACAACUGACCUAGAGAAUGUUUCUAGUUUGGCUAUUUUUACCUUGAAUGUGAAAUUCAUUUUAAAUUCUCACUUUAGUUACUAAAAGUAUAUUUGUUUAUUUCAGCUGCUUUCCUAGAAACAUACUGUAUCACUCGAACUUGAGAUCUGGUGCUUGGAAGUCAAAAACACACUCCCUGUUCAGAAAGUUGAGUGUAAAGAAAAUUUGCUCAUCCCAACUUUGGUUAAUCCCAGUAGUCUAAAAUAUCUAAAGUUUUAG